CCGCAACGUAGAGGUGCGGACAUUAUAAGUAGUUAUUUGGAGCGGAUAGCGGAGAUGAAUAACGAAAGGAAUGGCCGCCGAAAUCGGUUGAAAGUCAUUUUGACUGGUUGGUAGCGUCUUCGAAAGGAACGUUACUGUCAUAGUUUUUCACUAUGGAGCGCUACGGUGAGU
rfam:Haemophilus pittmaniae HK 85 ctg1129913985443, whole genome shotgun sequence.